CUCACCGAUAAACUUAAAUAUUUAAGAAUGGAAUAGUAUAACAAUGAAAUACAUAUAAUUUUGUUGAAUUUUGUAUGUUCCAUCAAAUGUUAAAGAUAAACUUUGACAAAUAAUCCAUAUAAAAUUUUAUUCACAUAAUUUACAUACAUAAUAUGCCUGCUUUCUUUGAAACAGAAAGCUUUCAUAUGAACAUUACAUACCACUGAAAAUAUGUAUCAAACUUUUCACAAAUUUUUUUGCAUAUUAAUGAAAAUGAGAUAUUCUGUCAAUUAACCAAGGUUUUUGUUUUUCUGUCAUCCGUAAUAUUGAUUUUGCUAUAAAGGAACCUGUAUAUUUUAAAGAAUUUUGUAAACAUUGUCAAGAAAACAUACUAUAGUUUAUAAUAAAAAUUAACAGGAUCUUCUCAUCCUUUCCACUUAGUAAGGAAAGGUAAGGCACCUUAUAGCUUGGUUUCUUUAAUAAGAUGUUUGUGCUAUACUUUUUUUCAUUGAAAUUUAAAAUUAUUACAGCAGAUUAUGGUGGAUUUUUAAGGAUAUAUUCUUCUAUGUAUUAAUAUGAACACACACUGCUCUAUGGUGGAACUAUUUGGGUUAAUUGUUUACAAACAAUAUUUGAAAUGUUUAUUUGGAUCCGUUUUAUCUAUAUGUAUAUUUUAUAAAUAAGAUUCUUGUUUUAUUUAAUUUCCUUACAACACUGCAAAAUUAAAACAGGAAACUUGAAAUUCAAAUCAGUCAAAUCAAUAAAGAAUUGUUAAGUCUCAUAGAGUACUGGCUUUGUUACUAAUAACUACAAUACUGACUUGGAUAUCUUUAGAGAAGAGGCACUGAAAUAAACUGAUCUUUGGUCAUGACAAAUAUUAAUUAAAUGGGUCUAAUGUAAUUUUUUUUAAAGUCUGUUUCCAACCAAUUGUCUAUGUCUGAAUUUUUAAAAAUGCUAAUACCUUUCAUAUCAAAUCCAAUAAUAAUGGAAUGUCUGCCUAUAGUAAUAUUUGCACAGAAUAAAUCUAGGAAAUAAAAGUAGCUUCUUAAUUAGUUUAAAUGGUAUACAUUAACAAUUGCAGAUGCAGACAAUUAUUUUCAUAGAUAUUGCAUAGAUUAAGAAAUAUCUAGAGGAAAAAAAUCCUCUCCAAUCAUUAAUUGCAAUGAAAAAGACACCUAAAUUUAAGAUCCAAUAGCGGGGUUCCUUUUUUCACUCCAAAUUAUACUACAGAUCAAAAAGAAAAAAAAAUCAAAACCCAAUGAGAAAUGGAAUAUGUUUAUAACUUGAAAAAAAACAAAAAAAAAUAAAUUACAUAAAGCAGAAAAGAACCAUAUUUAUGAUGUUGGGGCAACUCUUACUUCCUCAUACAUUCAAUUUUAAUUUCUCCUCUUCACUGGUAUAAUUGGGUUUUUAAAUGGCAGCGUAUCGUUUCAUAUAAAAUUUAGCACUUUAGCACUAAAUAAUAGCGAGGUUAUGUAUAAUAAUAGCGAGGUUAUGUAUCUUCAGGAUAAACAACACAAUAAUCUUUCUGUACAUUGAACUUAAAUAUUUUUUCACAUUUAUGUCUGUACAUUUAAAGACAUUAAACAUUAUUUUUGAAACAAUUCACAUAUAUUCAUUAUAAAAAUACAUAAAAAUAAGUUGACUUCAGAUAUUGUAACCUACAACGUACUAAUUACGUUGAAAAUUCCAGACUUUGUUUAUUUUACAAUGAUAAUAUUCUUUCUAUAAAGGUUUACUUCAUAAAAAGAAGCAAAUAUUAUUUACAUAAGUACUGUGUUGAAGUGGCAUAUGAUCAUUCUGCUAUUCCUCAUUGCAUUUCUAAAUCUAAAUAUGCAUGUUUAGAAAAAUGUACCAUAAUUCAAACAAAAACACAGCUUUUCUGAUCAUGUACAUCUUAAUAUUUAACAUUUUUUCAUCAGUUUCAAAAAUAUCACACUGCUCAGAAUAAAAGAAAAUAUUUUUUGCAUUCAGCAAGUUCCUAUUAAUAUAUUAAUAUAAAUAUAUUAAACAUAAAUCAUUUGUUUAAUUAGGAUAUUACAUUGCUUCUAGGAUUAUUAGAAACCAAGCAUCCCAUAAUCUUUACGGUUAUUCUGAAUCAU